UACGGAGGGUGCAAGCGUUAUCCGGAUUUACUGGGUUUAAAGGGUGCGUAGGUGGGUCUGUAAGUCAGUGGUGAAAUCUCCGAGCUUAACUCGGAAACUGCCAUUGAUACUAUAGGUCUUGAAUUAUCUGGAGGUAAGCGGAAUAUGUCAUGUAGCGGUGAAAUGCUUAGAUAUGACAUAGAACACCAAUUGCGAAGGCAGCUUACUACGGAUUGAUUGACACUGAGGCACGAAGGCGUGGGGAUCAAACAGG
rnacentral:rRNA from 1 species